GAUGAACGCUGGCGGCGUGCUUAACACAUGCAAGUCGAACGAAGCACUUUAUUUGAUUUCCUUCGGGACUGAUUAUUUUGUGACUGAGUGGCGGACGGGUGAGUAACGCGUGGGUAACCUGCCUUGUACAGGGGGAUAACAGUUGGAAACGGCUGCUAAUACCGCAUAAGCGCACGGCAUCGCAUGAUGCAGUGUGAAAAACUCCGGUGGUAUAAGAUGGACCCGCGUUGGAUUAGCUAGUUGGUGAGGUAACGGCCCACCAAGGCGACGAUCCAUAGCCGACCUGAGAGGGUGACCGGCCACAUUGGGACCGAGACACGGCCCAAACUCCUACGGGAGGCAGCAGUGGGGAAUAUUGCACAAUGGGCGAAAGCCUGAUGCAGCGACGCCGCGUGAGCGAAGAAGUAUUUCGGUAUGUAAAGCUCUAUCAGCAGGGAAGAUAAUGACGGUACCUGACUAAGAAGCACCGGCUAAAUACGUG
rnacentral:rRNA from 1 species